rnacentral:rRNA from 1 species
AUUGAACGCUGGCGGCAGGCCUAACACAUGCAAGUCGAACGAGUGGCGGACGUGUGAGUAAUGUCUGGGAAACUGCCUGAUGGAGGGGGAUAACUACUGGAAACGGUAGCUAAUACCGCAUACCAUCGGAUGUGCCCAGAUGGGAUUAGCUAGUAGGUGGGGUAAAGGCUCACCUAGGCGACGAUCCCUAGCUGGUCUGAGAGGAUGACCGGCCACACGGGAACUGAGACAAGGUCCAGACGCCUACGGGAGGCAGCAGUGAGGAAUAGUGCACAAUGGGCUCAAGCCUGAUGCAGCUAUGCCGCGUGUAUGGAGAAGGCCUUCGGGUUGUAAAGUACGUUCAGCUGGGAGGCUUUACCCGCAGAAGAAGCACCGGCUAACUCCGUGCCAGCAGCCGCGGUAAUUC